UGGGGGAUAUUGCACAAUGGGCGAAAGCCUGAUGCAGCGACGCCGCGUGGGGGAUGAAGGCUUUCGGGUUGUAAACCUCUUUCGCUAUCGAACAAGGCCCGCUUAGGGUGGGUUGAGGGUAGGUGGAGAAGAAGCGCCGGCUAACUACGUGCCAGCAGCCGCGGUAAUACGUAGGGCGCGAGCGUUGUCCGGAAUUAUUGGGCGUAAAGGGCUUGUAGGCGGCUUGUUGCGCCUGCUGUGAAAACGCGGGGCUUAACUUCGCGCGUGCAGUGGGUACGGGCAGGCUUGAGUGUGGUAGGGGUGACUGGAAUUCCAGGUGUAGCGGUGGAAUGCGCAGAUAUCUGGAGGAACACCGAUGGCGAAGGCAGGUCACUGGGCCAUUACUGACGCUGAUGAGCGAAAGCAUGGGUAGCGAACAG
rnacentral:rRNA from 1 species